rnacentral:rRNA from 1 species
GAGACUCUGUGCGCGUGCAUAUCAAUAAGCGGAGGAAAAGAAACUAACAAGGAUUCCCCUUAGUAACGGCGAGUGAAGCGGGAAGAGCUCAAAUUUGAAAGUCUUCAAGGUUCUACCUUGACGAAUUGUAGUUUCAUAGAAGUGUUUUCUGUUAGUGGAGUGGCAAAAGUUCUUUGGAAUAGGACAUCAUAGAGGGUGAGAAUCCCGUAUUUGGUCAUUCCUCCUAGCGUUGUGAUACACUUUCAACGAGUCGGAUUGUUUGGGAAUGCAGUCCAAAAUGGGUGGUAAAUUUCAAUCUAAAGCUAAAUAUUGGCGAGAGACCGAUAGCGAACAAGUACCGUGAGGGAAAGAUGAAAAGAACUUUGAAAAGAGAGUUAAACAGUACGUGAAAUUGUCAAAAGGGAAGCGUUUGACACCAGUGUUGUUUUUUUCCGAAAAUCAAUUACGAAUGUUUUAGUUUUUGAGGAGUUAUGACUUCAUCGGCUUGCUCCUUUCUUUAUGAAACUUUCUUAAUGCACUUUUCGGUUAACAAGUCAACAUCAAUUUCUUUUGUUGUAAAAGGGUAUGAGGAAGGUGGCUUUCUUUUCGGAGAAAGUGUUUAUAGCCUUGUGCCUCUGCAAUCGGAGAGAUUGAGGUCUGCAGCGUAGACCCUUCGGGGUUAGAUACAUUUGUGCUAAGUUAUAGCCUUGUAUAGACAACUUGUUGACUAUGCUCAGUCAUGUAGCUUACUCGCUGACGCUAUUUUACCUACGCUUAGGAUGUUGACAGCAGUAUAGACUGUA